rnacentral:rRNA from 1 species
CCUACGGGAGGCUGCAGUGGGGAAUAUUGCACAAUGGGGGGAACCCUGAUGCAGCGACGCCGCGUGAGUGAAGAAGUAUCUCGGUACGUAAAGCUCUAUCAGCCGGGAAGAAAAUGACGGUACCUGACUAAGAAGCCGCGGGGAACUACGUGCCAGCAGCCGCGGUACUACGUCGGGGGCAGGCGUUAUCCGGAUUUACGGGGUGUAAAGGGAGCGUAGACGGCACUGCAAGUCCGGAGUGAAAGCCCAAGGCUUAACCAUGGGACAGCCCUGGAAACUGGUGAGCUUGAGUGCGGGAGGGGCAGGCGGAAUGCCUAGUGUAGCGGUGAAAUGCGUAGAUAUUAGGAGGAACACCGGCGGCGAAGGCGGCCUGCUGGACCGUAACUGACGUUGAGGCGCGAAAGCGUGGGGAGCAAACAGGAUUAGAUACCCCAGUAGUC